rnacentral:rRNA from 1 species
UACGUAGGUGGCAAGCGUUAUCCGGAUUUAUUGGGCGUAAAGGGAACGCGGGCGGUCUUUUAAGUCUGAUGUGAAAGCCUUCGGCUUAACCGGAGUAGUGCAUUGGAAUCUGGGAGACUUGAGUGCAGAAGAGGAGAGUGGAACUCCAUGUGUAGCGGUGAAAUGCGUAGAUAUAUGGAAGAACACCAGUGGCGAAAGCGGCUCUCUGGUCUGUAACUGACGCUGAGGUUCGAAAGCGUGGGUAGCAAACAGG